rfam:Toxocara canis scaffold892, whole genome shotgun sequence.
CGGGCAGUGGCUCAGUGAUAGAGCCCCCGUUUCACAUGCGCGAAUACCUGGGUUCGAUCCCCGGCUGCUUCC